GGACUACAGGGGUAUCUAAUCCUGUUUGCUCCCCACGCUUUCGCGCCUCAGCGUCAGUCAAGGACCAGGUCGCCGCCUUCGCCACCGGUGUUCUUCCCAAUAUCUACGAAUUUCACCUCUACACUGGGAAUUCCACGACCCUCUUCCCCACUCCAGACCCAAUGUCUCAAGCGCAGCCCCCAGGUUGAGCCCAGGAAUUUCACGCCUGACAAUCCGAUCCGCCUACGCGCCCUUUACGCCCAGUCAUUCCGAGCAACGCUAGCCCCCUUCGUAUUACCGCGGCUGCUGGCAC
rnacentral:rRNA from 1 species